CCAUGCUAGCCGGGGGUGUAGCGGCCCCCUGUUACCCGCAAUCCGCUAUAGCGGGGGUGAUGCUUGCCGGAGGCUCCUUUUUUGUGGGGCCUGGGCUUGGUAAGUGGUGUUGACGAUCUGGUCUUGCGCAAUGGCCCUUUGUGAACCGUGUCAGAUCCUGACGGAAGCAGCACUAAGCAUUCGGUGCCAUGUGCCGCGGGGGUGCUGGGUUUGAGCUAACUGCCGGGAUACCGCCCGGAAGAAAAUGUCGAUGGCAAGUGCAUGG
rnacentral:SRP_RNA from 1 species